rnacentral:rRNA from 1 species
UACGGGGGGGGCAAGCGUUGUUCGGAAUUACUGGGCGUAAAGGGCUCGUAGGUGGCCAACUAAGUCAGACGUGAAAUCCCUCGGCUUAACCGGGGAACUGCGUCUGAUACUGGAUGGCUUGAGUUUGGGAGAGGAAUGCGGAAUUCCAGGUGUAGCGGUGAAAUGCGUAGAUAUCUGGAGGAACACCGGUGGCGAAGGCGGCAUUCUGGACCAUUACUGACGCUGAGGCGCGAAAGCUAGGGGAGCAAACGGG